UACAGAGGGUGCGAGCGUUAAUCGGAAUUACUGGGCGUAAAGCGUGCGUAGACGGCUAUCUAAGUCGGGUGUGAAAGCCCCGGGCUCAACCUGGGAAUUGCAUUCGAGACUGAAUAGCUAGGGUACGGUAGAGGGAAGCGGAAUUUCCGGUGUAGCGGUGAAAUGCGUAGAUAUCGGAAGGAACAUCAGUGGCGAAAGCGGCUUCCAUG
rnacentral:rRNA from 1 species